rnacentral:rRNA from 1 species
GACGAACGCUGGCGGCGUGCCUAAUACAUGCAAGUAGAACGCUGAAGAGAGGAGCUUGCUCUUCUUGGAUGAGUUGCGAACGGGUGAGUAACGCGUAGGUAACCUGCCUUGUAGCGGGGGAUAACUAUUGGAAACGAUAGCUAAUACCGCAUAACAAUGGAUGACACAUGUCAUUUAUUUGAAAGGGGCAAUUGCUCCACUACAAGAUGGACCUGCGUUGUAUUAGCUAGUAGGUGAGGUAAUGGCUCACCUAGGCGACGAUACAUAGCCGACCUGAGAGGGUGAUCGGCCACACUGGGACUGAGACACGGCCCAGAAUCCUACGGGAGGCAGCAGUAGGGAAUCUUCGGCAAUGGGGGCAACCCUGGACGAGCCACGCCGCGGGAGUGAAGAAGGGUCUCGGAUCGUAAAGCUCUGUUGUAAGUCAAGAACGGGUGUGAGAGUGGAAAGUUCACACUGUGACGGUAGCUUAACAGAAAGAGACGGCUAACUACGUG